ACAGCAGCCGCCGCGGUAAUACGGAGGGGGCUAGCGUUGUUCGGAAUUACUGGGCGUAAAGCGCACGUAGGCGGCUUUGUAAGUUAGAGGUGAAAGCCUGGGGCUCAACUCCAGAAUUGCCUUUAAGACUGCAUCGCUUGAACGUCGGAGAGGUGAGUGGAAUUCCGAGUGUAGAGGUGAAAUUCGUAGAUAUUCGGAAGAACACCAGUGGCGAAGGCGGCUCACUGGACGACUGUUGACGCUGAGGUGCGAAAGCGUGGGGAGCAAACAGGAUUAGAUACCCGUGUAGUCCCUGUCUCUUAUAC
rnacentral:rRNA from 1 species